AACGUCGGGUCCCGGCAGGCCUUACACAUGCAAGUCGAGCGAGACCUUCGGGUCUAGCGGCGGACGGGUUAGUAACGCGUGGGAACGUGCCCUUCUCUGCGGAAUAGCCACUGGAAACGGUGAGUAAUACCGCAUACGCCCUUCGGGGGAAAGAUUUAUCGGAGAAGGAUCGGCCCGCGUUAGAUUAGAUAGUUGGUGGGGUAAUGGCCUACCAAGUCUACGAUCUAUAGCUGGUUUUAGAGGAUGAUCAGCAACACUGGGACUGAGACACGGCCCAGACUCCUACGGGAGGCAGCAGUGGGGAAUCUUAGACAAUGGGCGCAAGCCUGAUCUAGCCAUGCCGCGUGUGUGAUGAAGGUCUUAGGAUCGUAAAGCACUUUCGCCAGGGAUGAUAAUGACAGUACCUGGUAAAGAAACCCCGGCUAACUCCGUGCCAGCAGCCGCGGUAAUACGGAGGGGGUUAGCGUUGUUCGGAAUUACUGGGCGUAAAGCGCGCGUAGGCGGAUUGGAAAGUUGGGGGUGAAAUCCCGGGGCUCAACCCCGGAACUGCCUCCAAAACUAUCAGUCUAGAGUUCGAGAGAGGUGAGUGGAAUUCCAAGUGUAGAGGUGAAAUUCGUAGAUAUUUGGAGGAACACCAGUGGCGAAGGCGGCUCACUGGCUCGAUACUGACGCUGAGGUGCGAAAGUGUGGGGAGCAAACAGGAUUAGAUACCCUGGUAGUCCACACCGUAAACGAUGAAUGCCAGUCGUCGGGCAGUAUACUGUUCGGUGACACACCUAACGGAUUAAGCAUUCCGCCUGGGGAGUACGGUCGCAAGAUUAAA
rnacentral:rRNA from 1 species